GUUUGAGGUAGUUGGACUCUCUCUCCCCCUUGUGUUCCCCAUCGGCAGACGGGCUGCCACACGAGAGCCACACGCAGCUUUGGUAAAGUCUGAUAGGGUCUUUGUCCCACUGGCUCAUCUCCUUGAAUAGCUGUUAAGUCAUGCAUACUGAAACUUCUCAACCGUUCAGUUAUUGCACCUUGACCCUGGAACACAAUAAUAGCACUUUUCAAGAACAAAUGGAGAAGCCUUUAGAUUUGCUCUUCAAAUUGAGAUGUAGUUACCUCAACUUGAUUGAAGGAAGACAGCAGAAAGAAGCCAGAAAUCCUGUAAACAGUGUGAUUACCAGCAAGAAAAUGCAACAAAGACAGAAAAAAAGAAUGUUGAUCUUUCACUAGUAGCUUGAACGUAACAUUGUAGUCUAUAUUUUAAUUUACCACUCAACUGAUAGCCAUAAUCCAAAAAUUUACAUGCUAUUUUAAAACUAACAGACAUAGUAUAAAAAUACUCACAAAAUUGCAAUCCUUAAAUUACAUCCCCCUAUUUUUAAACAUGUUACUUUUAGAAUGAAUUCUUUGAGUUAAGAUGGGUAAAUACCCAAUACCACUUUGCUUUUUUGUCCAUAAUAUUUACCCUGAACAGUUUAAUGUAAGUGAAAUUUACCUUUGCAGCAGCAGUCACUGCAGCAGUAGCUGCCAAAUUUAAACCCUGUCUCCCAAAAUUCACCAUAGUUUCAUAACCUCGUUCUUUGGCUUGUACAAUAUACUCAUCGAUCUCCUAAAAAACAAAAACAGAAUACAUAUUUAAAUUUGCACACAAAAUCCCUAAAAGUCAUGAAGCUGUAUUACCCCAUAGCAUUAUUUUAUCAUCAAAAUUUGGAUGGAAGACUUGAAGGUAAAAUAUAUUUAUAUUUCAACUUAUAUUAAGUGUAUUAGCCUACGUCUACACUAAAGACCUUACAGCAGGACAGCUGUACCGAUGCAGCUGCACCACUGUAAGCUCUCUCAUGUAGCCGCUCUAUGCCAACAGGAGAGAGCUCUCCUGUCAACAUAAUUAAACCACCCUUAAUGGGAAGCGGUAGUUAUGUCGGCAGAAGAAGUGCUGUUCACGCUACCACAUAUGCCAGUGAAACUUGUCAUUCAGGGAAGUGUUUUUUCACCUAAGCAACAUAAGUUUCACUGGCAUAUGUGGUAGUGUAGACAUGGCCUCAGUUAAUGUAUUAACGUUUUAAGCACAAAAAAUAUUUAAUUCUUGCAUUUAAUGCCAAACUUUGAAAAUAAUCAUUUCUUACUCGUUCCUUUGAAGAAAGAAGAGGAUGGAGAAACUUCCUAUACAUUAAACUUGCCCCUCUAGUAUAUGGAGAGAGCAGCCAAAUAACAAAAGCGAUCUUCAACUCAUAAUACAAUGGAAACCUGCAGAUAAAACAUUAUGCAAGUACUAUGAUAAGAAGGUAGAUGUUAAUUAACUACCAAAAACAAAACUUUGCAAAAAAAAACCAAACUGGUUACACAUUUUUUACAACAAAAUGUUACACUAUCUUUUCAUCUAAGGUUAAUAAUAUCAAUAUUGAUUAAAAAUUAACUAUUUAAUAGAUGCAUAUCUGUUUCAUUGACUUAUUUGGUUUUCAUUUAAUGUAAUACCAUCAAAAGCAGAAAGGGUAAGAGAUUUAAAUAAAAUCUUUCCAUGUUUUCUUGCAUUAUACUAUUUUAUUUAAGACACCAGAUUCCUUUUGCAUGAGUUUUACAACUCCAUUCUCUUCUCUUGUGCUUUACUGCAUGGGUAGCAUUUUUCUAUUCCUACUCUUUAAGGAAUUAAAAGACACCACAAAUUUAGAAAUGGGGGACACUAUUCAUUAUGCAAGUUCCUUACAGCCGUUCUUGGAAACGUCACUUAUAAAUACAAGUUGGUAAUUGUAUUCUCUUCGCUGAAUUAAAUCAUCAGAAAAAAAUUAUAUCAUCCCAUGUUCCA